GACGAACGCUGGCGGCGUGCCUAAUACAUGCAAGUAGAACGCAGUUUCGAACGGGUGAGUCACGCGUAGGUAACUGCCUCAUAGCGGGGGGUACCUAUUGGAAACGAUAUCUAAUACCGCAUCCUGUGUGAUGGACCUGCGUGGUAUUGGCUAGUUGGUGAGGUAAAGGCUCACCAAGGCGAAGAUACCUAGCCGACCGGAGAGGGUGGUCGGACACAAUGGGACGGAGACAAGGACCCGACUCAUACAGGAGGCAGCAGAAGGGAAUCUGCGGCAAUGGACGGAAGACUGACAGGGCAACGCCGAGGGAGUGAAGAAGGUUUUUGGAUCGUAAAGCUCUGUUGUUAGAGAAGCGGUGACUAACCAGAAAGGGACGGCUAACUACGUGCCAGCAGCCGCGGUAAUAC
rnacentral:rRNA from 1 species